rnacentral:rRNA from 1 species
UACGAAGGGGGCUAGCGUUGUUCGGAAUUACUGGGCGUAAAGCGCGCGCAGGCGGCUAUCCAAGUCAGUGGUGAAAGCCCGGAGCUCAACUCCGGAACUGCCAUUGAAACUGUUUAGCUUGAGGACGAGAGAGGUGAGUGGAAUUCCCAGUGUAGAGGUGAAAAUUCGUAGAUAUUGGGAAGAACACCGGUGGCGAAGGCGGGUCUCUGGGCAGUAACUGACGCUGAGGAGCGAAAGCGUGGGGGAGCAAAACAGG